CGCCUGCCCUGUGACUAAAAGUUCAACGGCCGCGGUAUUUUGACCGUGCAAAGGUAGCGCAAUCACUUGUCUUUUAAAUGAAGACCUGUAUGAAUGGCAUGACGAGGGCUUAACUGUCUCCUUUUUCCAGUCAAUGAAAUUGAUCUUCCCGUGCAGAAGCGGGAAUAUAACCAUAAGACGAGAAGACCCUAUGGAGCUUUAGACACAAGACAGAUCUUGUUAAACACUUCAAAAUAAAGAAACAAACUAAAAGAACCCUGCCCUACUGUCUUCGGUUGGGGCGACCACGGGGAGAUAAAUAACCCCCACGCGGACUGAGAAAACAGUUCUCACAACCAAGAGCUACAGCUCUAAUCGACAGAAAAUCUGACCUCAAGAUCCGGCAACGCCGAUCAACGAACCGAGUUACCCUAGGGAUAACAGCGCAAUCCCCUUCUAGAGUCCAUAUCGACAAGGGGGUUUACGACCUCGAUGUUGGAUCAGGACAUCCUAAUGGUGCAGCAGCUAUUAAGGGUUCGUUUGUUCAACGAUUAAA
rnacentral:rRNA from 1 species